rnacentral:rRNA from 1 species
CCUACGGGCGGCAGCAGUGAGGAAUAUUGGUCAAUGGGCGCGAGCCUGAACCAGCCAAGUCGCGUGAAGGAUGACUGCCCUACGGGUUGUAAACUUCUUUUAUACAGGAAUAAAGUGAGGCACGUGUGCCUUUUUGUAUGUACUUUAUGAAUAAGGAUCGGCUAACUCCGUGCCAGCAGCCGCGGUAAUACGGAGGAUCCGAGCGUUAUCCGGAUUUAUUGGGUUUAAAGGGAGCGUAGAGGGUUUGUUAAGUUAGUGGUGAAAGUUUGCGGCUCAACCGUAAAAUUGCAAUUGAUACUGGUAGGCUAGAGUACAGUUGAGGUAGGCGGAAGGUGUGGUGUAGCGGUGAAAUGCUUAGAGAUCACACAGAACACCGAUUGCGAAGGCAGCUCACGAAGCCGCGAUUGACGCUGAGGCACGAAAGCGUGGGGAGCAAACAGGAUUAGAUACCCGAGUAGUC